UACAGGGGGUGCAAACGUUGUCCGGAAUUACUGGGCGUAAAGAGCUCGUAGGUGGUUUGUCGCGUUGUUCGUGAAAACUCACAGCUCAACUGUGGGCGUGCGGGCGAUACGGGCAGACUGGAGUACUGCAGGGGAGACUGGGAUUCCUGGUGUAGCGGUGGAAUGCGCAGAUAUCAGGAGGAACACCGGUGGCGAAGGCGGGUCUCUGGGCAGUAACUGACGCUGAGGAGCGAAAGCGUGGGGAGCGAACAGG
rnacentral:rRNA from 1 species